rnacentral:rRNA from 2 species
UGCAAGUCGAGCGGUAAGGCCCCUUCGGGGGUACACGAGCGGCGAACGGGUGAGUAACACGUGAGCAACCUACCCUCAACUUUGGGAUAAGCCUCGGAAACGGGGUCUAAUACCGGAUAAUACUGACUGUCUCAUGAUGGUUGGUUGAAAGUUCUGGCGGUUGGGGAUGGGCUCGCGGCCUAUCAGCUUGUUGGUGGGGUAAUGGCCUACCAAGGCGUCGACGGGUAGCCGGCCUGAGAGGGCGACCGGCCACACUGGGACUGAGACACGGCCCAGACUCCUACGGGAGGCAGCAGUGGGGAAUAUUGCGCAAUGGACGAAAGUCUGACGCAGCAACGCCGCGUGAGGGAUGACGGCCUUCGGGUUGUAAACCUCUUUCAGCAGGGACGAAGCGAGAGUGACGGUACCUGCAGAAGAAGGACCGGCCAACUACGUGCCAGCAGCCGCGGUAAUACGUAGGGUCCGAGCGUUGUCCGGAAUUAUUGGGCGUAAAGGGCUCGUAGGCGGUUCGUCACGUCGGGAGUGAAAACUCGGGGCUUAACCCCGAGCCUGCUUCCGAUACGGGCAGACUAGAGGUAGGCAGGGGAGAGCGGAACUCCUGGUGUAGCGGUGGAAUGCGCAGAUAUCAGGAAGAACACCGGUGGCGAAGGCGGCUCUCUGGGCCUUACCUGACGCUGAGGAGCGAAAGCGUGGGUAGCGAACAGGAUUAGAUACCCUGGUAGUCCACGCCGU